AAAUAGACACAACGAAAGCGAAAACAAUUGAAAAUAAUUUUUUAGGUAGAUUGAUUGUCGGAUCCUAUCCUUUUUGGGAGACUUCUUCUUCUUCCCUUCUUCUUUUGUCUUGUGGGUG
rnacentral:ribozyme from 1 species